UGAUGUUGCAACUCGUUCUCAUCAAUCUGCGUAUAAAUAACACGACUUUACACUUUCUAGUUGCGUGUAAUGCAUACGCCAAAUGCCAAUUUUGCGUGCAUAUGAUGCGCCAAUCCUUCACAUUAAUUUCGGUGGACAGCAGAUGCGUCCUAAAAACACGCGUUCAUCUUCAGCGGCAGUGAUGUCACCAGCGAGGCUCGUCCAGGUCACCUGAUGCGCGUACACCUUCAAACAGUUACGUCGGAUUACAUACUCCACAAGAACCUGUAAUCCAGCAGCUCUUUAAAGAAGCCAUCUCUUGUAAAAUCUCUCUCUCGCUCUCUCGCUCUCUCUCUCUCUCUCUCUCUCUCUCUGCUAGAAUUAUCAG